GCUCAGUUGGUUAAGCCACUGCCUUCAGCUCAGGUCAUGAUCCCAAGAUCCUGGGAUCGAGUCCCGCAUCGGGGUCCCUGUUUGGCAAGGAUCCUGCUUUUCUCACUGCAUUUGCCUCCUUGUGUGUACUCUUU